rnacentral:rRNA from 1 species
CAGUAGCCACGGUAAUACGGAGGGGGCUAGCGUUGUUCGGAAUUACUGGGCGUAAAGCGCACGUAGGCGGCUUGGUAAGUUAGAGGUGAAAGCCUGGAGCUCAACUCCAGAAUUGCCUUUAAGACUGCCGAGCUAGCAGGUGAGAGAGGUAAGUGGAAUUCCGAGUGUAGAGGUGAAAUUCGUAGAUAUUCGGAAGAACACCAGUGGCGAAGGCGGCUCACUGGCUCAUUCUAGACGCUGAGGUGCGAAAGCGUGGGGAGCAAACAGGAUUAGAUACCCGCGUAGUCCCUGUCUCUUAUAC